UCCCCGGUGAAGGUCAAGGGGCGACCUGA
rnacentral:sRNA from 1 species